CACGUAGGAGGCGAGCGUUGUCCGGAAUCAUUGGGCGUAAAGAGCGCGCAGGCGGCUUGGCAAGUCGGGUGUGAAAUCCCGGGGCUCAACCCCGGGACUGCAUUCGAUACUGUCAGGCUAGAGGUAGGUAGGGGAGAUCGGAAUUCCUGGUGUAGCGGUGAAAUGUGUAGAGAUCGGGAGGAACACCGGUGGCGAAGGCGGGUCUCUGGGCAUCUCCUGACGCUGAGGCGCGAAAGCGUGGGGAGCAAACGGG
rnacentral:rRNA from 1 species